rnacentral:tRNA from 1 species
CUGUAGCUCAGUGGUAGAGCAUUUUUUGGCAUGCAAAAGGUCCCAGGUUCAAUCCCUGGUAUCUGGA